UACAGAGGUCUCACGCGUUGUUCGGAUUCAUUGGGCGUAAAGGGUGCGUAGGUGGCGCCGUAAGUCGGGUGUGAUAUUUCGGAGCUUAACUCCGAAACUGCAUUCGAUACUGGUGUGCUUGAGGACUGGAGCGGAGACUGGAAUUCAUGGUGUAGCAGUGAAAUGCGUAGAGAUCAUGAGGAAGACCAGUGGCGAAGGCGGGUCUCUGGACAGUUCCUUACACUGAGGCACGAAGGCCAGGGGAGCAAACGUG
rnacentral:rRNA from 1 species